AUGAUUGUGGUAGAUGAGCUUCCGUUCAUAUUUGCAGAGAAAGAAGGUUUUAGGUUCUUCAUGUCUAAAGCUUGCCCUAGGUUCAAUGUGCCAUCUAGGACCACUAUGUAUAGAGAUAUCAUUGCUCUUUAUGAAACUGAGAAAGCUAUGCUUAGAAAAUAUUUCAUCGAUUCAUGUCAAACUUCUGCGUGGAACCUUAGGAAGAAAAUUAUUAGCUUUGUCUUGGUAGAUGGACACAAAGGGGACGAUAUUGGGAAAUCGUUAGAAAAAUUACUGAUUGAGUGGGGCAUUGAACGAGUGUGCACUAUUACCGUAGAUAAUGCGAGUUCUAAUGACACUUGCUUAGCCUACAUGAAGAGAUCUUUGACUAAUAGGGGCUGCACACAUGCAAGAAGCCAAUAUCUUCACAUGAGGUGUGUGGCUCACAUUGUUAAUCUUGUGGUUCAAGAUGGGCUAAAGAUAAUGUGCCAUCCUGUAAACAGAAUUCGCCAUGCUAUCAAGUUUGUUAGAGCCUCCCUAACUAGACUGGAUGUAUUUAAGAAGUGUGUGCAGCUCAGCAAGGUAGCGAGCAAAGGUUUGAUUAAUAUUGAUGUGGCUACUAGAUGGAACUCUACAUUUGUAAUGCUAGACAAUGUUGAGAAAUUUGAGAGGGCAUUUGAGCAAUAUGCACUUCAUGAUCCCAACUACAAGACCGAGUUGGAAAAAACUGGUCCAGAACCUAAGCCCGAUGCUCUUGACCAGCGGGGUCCUCCAACUCAAAGUGAUUGGGUAUAUAUUCGUGAGUUCAAACAAUUCCUCCAACACUUCUAUGACCUCACUAAUAAGGUUUCUGGCACCAAGUAUGUUACAGCCAACACCUUCUUGGAAGAGAUUGCUGAUGUUAACUUUUUGUUGGGUGAAUGGAGUGAUCAUGUGAUUUGUGGUGAUGAUGAAAUAUUUAAAUGCAUGGCUCUCAAGAUGAAAGCGAAGUAUGAGAAGUAUUGGGGUGAUCCUGAAAAGAUGAACAAAUAUAUAUUCAUUGCGGCCAUCCUUGAUCCUAGGAUCAAGGAAUCUCAUUUCUUUAAGGACAUGGUUGAAGACACCUAUGGCUGUAUAAUAGGUAACAGAAUCUUGACUUCUUCACACAAUGAAUUUGUCUCUCUUUUUGGAGAAUACAAAGAAUUAUAUGGAACUAGUUCUACUAGUGAAUUAGCAUCACAAGCUCGUGCUAGUGAAAAUGCUUCUGAAAGUUCUCUUAUGAGGUCACGCUACAACAAGAAGAGAAUGAGAACU
rnacentral:rRNA from 1 species